AUGGAUGGUGCUAAUCUGAAUGCACAGGUGGGUUUAACUAGCCCUGGUUUUAUUGGAGCGGAUGUUUGUCAUCUCAAUCUCCACAAGACUUUCUGUAUCCCUCACGGUGGUGGUGGUCCCGGUAUGGGCCCUAUCGGUGUGAAGCAACAUUUGGCUCCAUUCCUACCUUCUCACCCUGUGAUACCUACUGGUGGUAUCCCUGAACC